UGUGUGCUGGAGGGGUCGGUGCCUGUGGGCGAGAGCUGUGCGGAGCCGCUUGUGUACCUCUGUCUAGGAGCCAGACCUAUCACUGGCCACUUCUAGGCGCAGCACUGUCAGCAGUCCCAAGACAGACAGGAAGCCUGCCUUAGCACCCCUGUGCGACUGACUGGGAGCCGCCCGAGGAGCUGGCAUCCAAAUGACCAGCUGAGAACAAGGGCACCAUUUACCUUUGUAGUGAGUUUUGAGCAGACCUACAAUCAAGUUCUGGAAAAUCCAAAGUGCUUCAGUACGAUCGAACACUUUUCACUUCAGGGCAUUGAAGGUAUUUUGGAUUCUCUUCUGCACUGUAAAUCAAAUGAACCAUCCCUUCAAGAAGACAGUGAUUCAGUGGAUAGGGCAUGGGAUUGGGGGUCAGGAGACCUUUUGGUUCUAUGCCUGGCUCUCAGUGAUGUGAAACAACCUGAAGCAAGUCAUUUCACAUCUCCGUUCCCCAACUAUUAGAAGAGGUAUCAAAGAAACCUCAUAGAGUGAGAAUUGGACAGUGCGGUGUCUUUGUGGAGUGUUUGGUGGGUGACUUCAACUUUCUAUUUCCAUUUGUGGCAUUUGAAAUUGCUGUCAAGUUCACUGUCUGGAUUACCUUGGAAGCAGGUGGAUGUAAAUGUUAAUAAGAUGCUAAUGGGAAUAAGGGGAACUGAGAUGCUCUGCUUUUCAUAGGUUGUUUUCUCAAGAUUCAUAAGACAUUAAAGUCUGCAUCACAUGGGCAGAAGUGCAUACCCAGCUACUCAGAGAAGUGCAUUAAGUCUAAGAAAAAACCUGCCACCAUAAGCUGAGAUGAAUCCCAUCAUACCAGCCCAUCAUAUGAAACAUGUUUUUGCAAAUUUGCUCAGAAGCAACUUCCAUAUGUCUGUUGUUGGCAUCAUGGUUGUAUUCAUAUUUUGCAAUUUUCAUGAUGAUCCAUGUCCUCUUUCCACAGCCAGAGUUAGAUUGCAUAGUCUGUCUUGUAAUCUACAUAUAAUGUGGUGGGAGAAUACCACAUUUUGCCUCACACCAAGAGCAGCACCACUUAUUGUGCUAACUUGUCUUAUUCCUUGCACAGCUGUAUAAAUGGAGGUAGGA